UAAUGGACCAGAGUCUGGUAGGGCCAGGCUAAUGGACCAGAGUAUGGUAGGGCCAGGCUAAUGGACCAGAGGCUAAUGGACCAGAGUCUGGUAGGGCCAGGCUAG